CCUACGGGAGGCAGCAGUGGGGAAUUUUGGACAAUGGGCGCAAGCCUGAUCCAGCAAUGCCGCGUGAGUGAAGAAGGCCUUCGGGUUGUAAAGCUCUUUUGUCAGGGAAGAAACGGUUGUUCCUAAUACGGAUGGCUAAUGACGGUACCUGAAGAAUAAGCACCGGCUAACUACGUGCCAGCAGCCGCGGUAAUACGUAGGGUGCAAGCGUUAAUCGGAAUUACUGGGCGUAAAGCGUGCGCAGGCGGUUAUAUAAGUCAGAUGUGAAAUCCCCGGGCUCAACCUGGGAACUGCAUUUGAGACUGUAUGGCUAGAGUGUGUCAGAGGGGGGUAGAAUUCCACGUGUAGCAGUGAAAUGCGUAGAUAUGUGGAGGAAUACCGAUGGCGAAGGCAGCCCCCUGGGAUAACACUGACGCUCAUGCACGAAAGCGUGGGGAGCAAACAGGAUUAGAUACCCUGGUAGUCCACGCCCUAAACGAUGUCUACUAGUUGUCGGGACUUAAUUGUCUUGGUAACGCAGCUAACGCGUGAAGUAGACCGCCUGGGGAGUACGGUCGCAAGAUUAAAACUCAAAGGAAUUGACGG
rnacentral:rRNA from 1 species